AGGACGAACGCUGGCGGCGUGCCUAACACAUGCAAGUCGAACGAGAUCCAUGGGAGCUUGCUCCCGGAAGAUCUAGUGGCGAACGGGUGAGUAACACGUGAGAAACCUGCCCUGGAGUGGGGAAUAACUCGGGGAAACUCGAGCUAAUACCGCAUACCCUCGGAUGGUCGCAUGGCCGACCGAGGAAAGAUUUAUCGCUCUAGGAGGGUCUCGCGGCCUAUCAGCUAGUUGGUGGGUAACGGCCUACCAAGGCAACGACGGGUAGCUGGUUUGAGAGAACGAUCAGCCACACUGGGACUGAGACACGGCCCAGACUCCUACGGGAGGCAGCAGUGGGGAAUCUUGCGCAAUGGGCGAAAGCCUGACGCAGCAACGCCGCGCGCGGGAUGACGGCCUUCGUGGUUGUAAACCGCUUUCAGCAGGGACGAAAAUGACGGUACCUGCAGAAGAAGCCCCGGCUAACUACGUG
rnacentral:rRNA from 1 species